AGGCCCGUUGGUCAAGCGGUUAAGACACCGCCCUUUCACGGCGGUAACACGGGUUCGAAUCCCGUACGGGUCA
rnacentral:tRNA from 1 species